UUUUGAAUGAAAAACAGAUUUUAGAUGUGCAAAGCUGGUACACGUAUCCCAUGGGGCAAACAGUCCACACACAAAAAAUAAUGUAAUGAAAUGCAGUGAGUGGUGGUGAGGAAGAUGCUGAGCACCCAGGUUGGAAUGAAGGAGUGAUGAUUUAAUAAUGAAAAUACAAAUACAAAAAAUCCAGGCAGCACAGAUUGAGCAGGAGACUUAAAGCUCAAAUACUGGUAGCAACUGGUUACAAAAUAACUGACAGCAGACAAGCCGUCAGACUAGACAGCCAGACAGAUAAGACAAGGACCCGACUAGGAACAAUGAAUACAGGUGGGAUUAAAUACGCAGGGAGACAAUCAGGAGAAACAAGGGACAGCUGGAGACAAUCAAGGGGUGGACAGGACAACACGGAGACCUAAUUAACUGAAAACAACACAAAAACCUAAAUUAACACAGAGAAAAAAACCAAAACCUUACAAAAAAAAUAGCAAUUUCAGAUUUUUAUUGUAAAUUGUAUUCAAAAUUGUGUUGGUCUGCCACGUAAAAGCCCUAUAAAAUGUAUACAAGCAGGGGACUAAUGUGAGAAAAGACAAAGGGGUACAAACGCUUCUGCAAGGCGCUUUAUUGUUCAAUUUGAAAGCAAAUUAACAAACUUUAGUGAGAGCAGAAAACCUUCUUUUGUAAUGUGUAACUAAGUCUUGUUGCAUCCCGUUGCCAUUUAACAGUCAUCUAUUCUUCACUCGAAAGCUGAAAGACAAACUCUGCAACUUCCUUUGGAUAGUCUUGCAUUGUUAAGGGUCCUUUUUUCCAUUUGCUGCUCAUAAGGCAGCUGUCUAACUUAGUUAAGGACACACCCUGCACAUCCACAUAAGGAAUUUAUUUAUAGGGAAAGCAUGUUUACGAUGCACCAUGUGUCAGAAAGCAGUUUUACAAACCCUGCAUCCCCCCUCAGUUUUCUCCUCUCCUUGCUGAAAGAGUAAUUGUACCUGGGAAUGCCGACACAUAAGUGAUGUAUUUAACCAUACGUUUCAUUGAGUUAGUAAUUAAUCUGCAGAUUGUGUCAGCACUGGAACGUUCAUAUUCUGUUAUUGCUCCUUUUUUGUCUUUCAGUCGACUCGCUCUCACGUUAACAGAGAGCAGCGAAGGAGCUCAGCAAAUGGAAAUCAUUUCUCCUCCUCCGCCUCUCCGGAGGGGCUUUCGUAACAAGAUCCCCCCUGCAUGCUGUCGCUGCAGUGGGCAGAGAGUCGGUUACCUGCUAGAGGUCAAAGCUGAAAACACAUUCACAGAAGCGCCGAGACCUUCGCCCUGCUGCAUUGUGGAACAGAAACGGUCCACAAACACCACAUUGAUGACGUGCGUGUGUCGCGGCGUUGCGUGAGUUGUACAGUACGUGAAGGUUUGUGUCACUGUGUGGAUCUGAAUAAACAACCUACACGAGGCCGAGGUCAAUCAAUGCAGAGGGGAAAACAAUCUGCUGGAUGUUUUUUUUUUCUUUUCUUUUCUCUGUGCUCCAUAGAGCUCAGUUCAACUGGAAUGUGUUACAUUACUCUCAUCCUUAUUCAUAUGGUGCUAAUCACAGCAGGAUAUGAGGCAUUGUUUUCCCAAAUAAUCUUUGGAAAAACAUUUUUUUUAAUGCUUCUUAUUCACCUUUUGACACUCUUUUUGUUGAGCACUGAUGAAAGUCCUUUUGCUCUUUCACCCACUGUAUUUUUUCCUUCUUCUUCAUUUGAUUUAUAGUCAGACCCAGAAAAGCACACAAUGGGCAGAGUGUGGUUGCGUGUCUUGCACCACUACAUCAUCUCUAGCAGGACUUUACAUGUGCAGCUGAUUAUAGUGCCCCAUGGUGGCCUUGCGGAUCCAGAGAGAAUUUCCAUAAAGAAUAAUUGAUAAGAUUUGGUAGUCGAAUAGAUGGUGGGGGAGACCAUCGUAGCUUGAACCUUAAAAUAUUCAACAUUUUAAGCUAAUUUAAUAGUAUGAGCAGCCUGUACUUUAUCUGGGGAAACAUGUUACACGCCCUGUAGCUGGUUGUGAAUGACUCGGCUGGUAAUAGUCAGUUUCACUCAUGUUCCCUCGUGGCUAGCCUCUCAAGCAAACAUGAUUUUUGCGUUUUAGCUUUAAAUUUUAAAAGGAAAAUGAUCUUUUCAAAGAUAAUGUCAAUGCAUAUUUCCACAAGGUUCAAAAUGUGUUUCCAGAAAGAUUUCAGAAUCUGAAACGAGUUUAAGCCUCUAAACGUUAUCACAUUUUCUCUUUGCACACUGUUCUUCUCAACUGAGAUAAAGUUAAGCUUUGAAUGCUUAACUUAGUCUGUCAUGACUAAUUAAUUGUUUUAGGACUAUGCAGCCUGAAUUAGUGUAAAAUAUAUAUAUAUAUUCUAAAAAUAUUUAGUAUCUUAACUUUAUUCAAAAUGCAAUUUCUUCAUAAGUAGUGUGAAUGCAAUUAUCAAGCAAAUCCUAAUAUGUCUUCUAGUCAUUCUAAUUGUGCUAAUGAAUGAUGCAAAAAUAGUAGAGUGGGAUAAGUAAGCAGGAGGUAACGCAGUUGGCUAGUGGGCUUUAUUUUAGCUGAGCAGUCAAAUAAAAAUGUACCUGCCACCAAACAUCUACAGUAUUUGACCAGUGCGUGGACUUUAGCCUUCAAGGUCUCAAAGGUCUAACAUUGUGCAACAUUCAUUAGCUUCGUGCUUGCUUCAGGCUCCAGGAUGAAAAUGUGCUUCAGCUGUGUCGUCAUUUAAUACAUGUGUUUAUCCUCAGUAAAUGAGCCAGAUCUCCCAGCACAUUUAUCCAGUCCAGUCAGGCCGCUUUGUUGCAGUGGUCCUGCCACACCUCAGAGCAUGAAUGGUUAUGCAAAGUCAUCGGGCAGUCAUAUUAGAUUGGUACAGCAAGUCACCUCAAGCGCCCAGAUUCAUGUCUGAGCUGCAUGUCUUUGUCUUUUAUUUCUCGCUCGUGUUUCAAGGGAAAGCUCUUCUAGCUAGAUAGACCUUUGACCUGGCCUGUUGAAUUUGAGAUACGUGAUCUUGUACCAAAAGGUUCACUAGCAGCUGAGGUAAAAGUAGCCAAGUAAGCGUCUGGGAGAGCAGGCAGCAUGUAGACUAAAAAUGCAAGCCAGAACACAAUCUCCCCACAGGACAUUUGCAGGGAACAUUCGAGGCAGAGGCAGUAUAAACCAGCCUGAACAAGUAAGGACUCUGGUUUGCUGAGAUCAACACACCCUUCUUGCUAGGCUCCCAGCCCACUCUCUUCCCCUGCUCCUUUGCCCGCGCUCCUGUUUUGGCAGUCAUGCGAUACCGUACUGCAUGAAGGCGAUCAGAAUCUCCUCUUUUCAGUGGUCCGCCCUCGCCCUGUCUUGAUUUCGACAUCCCGCUCUACUCUCGUACAGUAGAUGUCUUAGUUUGAGGCUCGGUCAGUUGAACAAAGGACUAAAAGUGAAAAGUUAUGACCAUAAAGCUCCUUUUACUGUGUUUUUUGAAAAAGUGAAAAGAGAAAGGCAUAGAACCACCAUUUGGUAUUAUGCCAAUGAGUCGAUCUGAAGGGAUUAAGCUUUUCAUUUAUUAACACUGACCACCUAUUUUGCUGAGUCAUCAUAACUUGAAUAUUUGCUCUUCGAACUUGCCUUGCUCAGUUUGCACAGCCAAACAUCUGCGUGUCAGGGAGUGGCAUUUACAUUUAAUGACCGUAGAACCACGUGGAUCUACAUUUUCUGCUUCUUUUUCUUGUUCGCAAAGGGAAUCGUGUCAUAAGCUUUUGACAUUUUGUUGCAUUGCGACCAAAAGCCUCAGUGUGGCAUACCAACACAAUGUUGUGCAUCCAAUGGAAGGAAAGGAAUACAUUGUUUUUACCAUUUUAAGAAAUAAACAUCUAAAAAUGAGGCGUACAUUUGAAUUGAGCUACUGUAACUUGCUGAACAAACCUUUUCAGUGAUUACAUCUGCAACUCUUUUUGGGAUAUGUCGCAACAAGCUUUGCACACUUGGAGGUUGGGAUUGUUUUUUCUAUCAUAUUCUUCUCGUCAGGACUUUUGCUGCCUCUGACAAGGUUUUGUCCGUUUGCUGUUCUUCUGCGAUGCCAUGCUGCGUCUGCGUUUGGACACUGUAAUGAAGGUCUUCAUUACUUAGCUGGAAACACUUAAAACGUGGGUUGAAUGAUAAAAGAAACAGGGUGUUCAGGCUAAAAGAGUCCCCAGGGGCCCGAGCACCUUUUAAAGGUUCCGGAAGAGACCAAUGCAGAUGGAAGAGGGGGAGCAAUAGAACGAUGCAUUUUAGAAGUUUAAUGUUGGAUUUUUAUUUAUAGAAAUGUCUUUUUAGAAAUUUAAUGUCUGUUUAAAAAUGAAUAGUAUUUGCUAAUAUUAUUCUGAAGAUUUGGUUGUUUUUGUCAAGUUUGUUUGUGUGUAUGUAUUUUGUCCUACCCUGUUUCUUGGUGGGUUUGUUAAUUGGAGCAGCCAUUGACUAUAAAAGGCUGCAUGUUGGCCACGUUGCAGGGUGGUUGCUGCUGAGACCCUUAGGCCAUUGUAAGCAGGGUUGUCUGUGUGAACCUGUUAAAUGUUGGUGAAUAAACACCCAGUGGGUCUGCACCGUU